CCUACGGGAGGCAGCAGUAAGGAAUCUUGCGCAAUGGGCGAAAGCCUGACGCAGCGACGCCGCGUGGGCGAUGAAGGCCUUCGGGUUGUAAAGCCCUUUUCUGGGGGACGAGGAAGGACGGUACCCCAGGAAUAAGUCACGGCUAACUACGUGCCAGCAGCCGCGGUAAAACGUAGGUGGCAAGCGUUAUCCGGAAUCACUGGGCGUAAAGGGCGUCUAGGCGGACGGGUAAGUCGUGCGUGAAAGCUUCCGGCUCAACCGGGAGAGGCCAUUCGAUACUGCGGGGCUUGAGGUUGGAAGAGGGGUGUGGAAUUCCCGGUGUAGUGGUGGAAUGCGUAGAUAUCGGGAGGAAC
rnacentral:rRNA from 1 species